UGCUUAUCUGCGAUAUGGAAGAUUCGAACCUGCCGCAGGUUCGGGUCUCACGUAGUGAGACAACGGAGCCGCUUGCGGCGACGGCCCGAAGGGCGAGCAAAGCGAGUCAUCCUGCACGACCCACCA
rnacentral:sRNA from 1 species